UACAUCAAACUGCAUUGAUUCUCAGUCAUUUUUGUUAUAGUUACUUCUCUAACCUUCUAUUAUUUAUUUUUUAAUGUUGGGUUCUUUUUAAUUUUUAAUGUUUGUGGUAUAUAAUAGUGUUAUUGUAGAGAACUUAAACAUGCUUGGAUGAUAUUGAUUAUUUGUUGGAUUGGAUGGCAAUCUAGUUAUAGCUUUUUUUCUAUAAAUAGUUGGUUUCACUUGUUUUAGUAUUAGAAUCUUCUUCUCUUGUCAUCAAGUAAUUGGCUGUCUUUACUGCAGGUAUCACUACAAUGUAAUGGA
rnacentral:misc_RNA from 1 species